rnacentral:rRNA from 1 species
AGAGUUCGAUUAUGGCUCAGGACGAACGCUGGCGGUGCGCCUUAUGCAUGCAAGUCGAGCGAAGCUUUUCAGUAGUUUACUACAGAAAAUGACUGAGCGGCGAACGGGUGAGUAACGCGUGAGCAAUCUACCUUAGUUACAGGGAUAGCCCGAGGAAACUCGGAUUAAUACCUGAUAUUCUUUAUAUUUCGCAUGAAAUUAAAAGGAAAGGUCAGCCGAACUAAGAUGAGCUCGCGUUCUAUCAGCUAGUUGGUGAGGUAAAAGCUCACCAAGGCUACGACGGAUAGCUGGUCUGAGAGGACGAUCAGCCACACUGGGACUGAGACACGGCCCAGACUCCUACGGGAGGCUGCAGCAGGGAAUAUUGCGCAAUGAGCGAAAGCUUGACGCAGCGACACCGCGUGUGGGGUGACGGAUCUAGGUUUGUAAACCACUUUCAGGAGGGAAGAAAAUGACGGUACCUCCACAAGAAGCCCCGGCCAACUACGUGCCAGCAGCCGCGGUAAUA